rnacentral:rRNA from 1 species
UACGGAGGAUGCGAGCGUUAUCCGGAUUUAUUGGGUUUAAAGGGUGCGUAGGCGGCUUUUUAAGUCAGCGGUGAAGUUUUGCAGCUUAACUGUAACAGUGCCGUUGGUACUGGGGAGCUAGGAUUUGGUUGCUGUGGGUGGAAUGUGUGGUGUAGCGGUGAAAUGCUUAGAGAUCACACAGAAUAUCGAUUGCGAAGGCAGCUCACAAAGCCAAGAUUGACGCUGAGGCACGAAAGUGUGGGGAUCAAACAGGAUUAGAUA